GAAGUGUUGAGGUGUGUGCCAGUUAAGGAAGAAUUGAAUGAGUGCUCAUCUUUGCUAGCUAGCCUGUGUAUACCCCUUUAGCCUUUGGUUAUUGUGAGAAUUGGCUUUGUCAUCGUGUACAACCCGACAUUGUUUUAGUGUCAUGCUCUAAGCUGUGUGAAUAUUUUCAACAUCCUUUAAAUUAUGAUAAUUUGAUAAAUUGUGAUC
rnacentral:misc_RNA from 1 species